AUUGCAUUAGCUCUCACUGUUGGCUUUUAGAUUGGUCAAAGGGAGGUGUCAGUCAUGCUGAAUGGCCACUAACACUAUUUAUUGUCGCAAGGAGGCUGGCAAUGGCUUGUCUUAACCCACAGAACUGGAGAGGUUUAGCACAGCUGAGCAAAGCUUCAACCUUAACACUGGAAAGGGAUAUCCUGCGUAUUUAGACUACAAGAAUUUUGCUUCAAGUCCUGCUGCAGAGGAUAUUUUCUCUGACACAUGCGCUGAUCGUGGGAAGAUGAUGCAGAAUACAGAUUUCAAGACAAACCGUCAUUCCCUGUUCAACGCCAUGGACAGGUUUAUCACAGCCGCCACUGAUAUGGACGAGACCAUCAUGGUCCCAACCUUGCUGCGGAUCUCUCACUGGAAGAGGAGGACAAUCCCAGAAACUGGAACCUCUCCAAACACAGGGAUCUCUACCAGAGCUAUCAGCUGCUGAAGUCAAUCAGGAAUGAUAUGGAGUGGGGGGUUCUGAACGGAGAAACGAACAGCAACCUGGAGCCCAGGAACACUGGGGAGGAGGCGGUUGAAGGUGGUGACCUCCAAGGGCAAUUUCGCCAUCAUUUAAAUGGACUUUUUUGUAUCCUCUCCAAGCUCACCCUCCAAGCUAACCAUCUGACCAGUCGGUACCAGAAAGAAGUGGGAUGUAACAAUUUGGGGAGUUAAAAAGGCGGACUCUGUUAAAUGUAGAUAAGAUUGCGCCAAAUUAGAUAUUUUCUGCUCAUGGUGCCUGUAUUUCCAGUGCUUUGGGACGUUCUCCCGACGUGAAAGGUGCUAUACAAAUGUAAUUUGCUGUUUUAUUUUUUUAAGUGGACUUUGAUGGAAAUGCUUAAACUCGGGAAGAUAAUGUCAGGAAAAUGGCGGUGAAAUUUGCAGCGUUCUGUGUGAUCUGCAGCGUUUCAGAAUUUGUGACUUAAUUGUCGUGAGGAAUGCAUUAUGAAACGCUGCAAAUUUCACCUUGUGGUAUAGAGGUUAAAGAAUUAGUCCUGACCUUGACCAAUCCAGAUGUACUGUUUUUUAAAAAGCAAUAGUUGUAAGAUUAUAUUUGUGAGGUUUAAUGUUUUUAAGGCUUUCAUCUUUAUGCACGUUUAGAAUGACCUAUACAACCCAUAGAUUACCCAUCCUUUAAUAAGAUUUGUUUGAAUUAAUGACUAGUUUAGCAGGGGUUAAAAGUAACUUUGCUGGACCGGUUGAGGUCAGCUUCUGAUUACAUUUCAUAUUUUUCUGGGAAAGUGUUCACUCCUCUGAGAUAAUGAGCAAUCGGGUCCUUGAGCAUAGAUGUAAGAAAGGAAAGGGUGCAGCCUCAGACCCCUGCCUAUUUCAAGGCGUAGAAACAAGCAGGCUGUGGAAGGCUGCCCAAAAGGUUUCCAUAUCUUUCUCUCUCUCAAAGCAGCCUGCGAAAGGUGGGGGCUAUUUCUGUGACGAGGGGAGGUGGAGUUAGAAACGCAUAAAAGAAAGAUAUAAGUUUGAAAUAGUUGCAGUUGUGUAGAGAGUCAGCACACUUCCCAAUGGAAUCGAUAUUGAUUCUACUGUACAGGGGUGAGGGGAUUUACCUCCAGAAGUUACCAUUAAAAGGGAAAAAAGAGACUUAGUGAGAUCUGUAAGGAAGAAGGGCCUUCUUCCAGUUGGAGUGUGGUUAUCGUGGAAAAUAUACAUUUUGAUCAUUAUGCUGGAUAAAGCUGUAUUCUGAUGUGAUAAUAUAUCAACGUUAAUGCAGAGACUGUUGCUGCUUGUUUGCGAAUAAAGACCUUUUCUUUGAA